UUAAGUUCAGCGGGUAUCCCUACCUGAUCCGAGGUCAACCUUGAGGUGUUGGGUUUUGGAGGCUUGCGACCUGUUACCGAGUAGCGGGAAGUUUUUACUAACGCCAACGGUUCACAGACCACAGCCGACCAGUUUAGAUCGCGCCCCCCGGGGAGGGGGGUGACAAUCAAUGCCAAGCAGAGCUUGAUGGUUGAUAAUGA
rnacentral:misc_RNA from 1 species